UUCUCUUUUUUUAAAAUGUUUUUCUCUAUUCUUACCUCUAGGGUUCCCAAACAUCGCGUGAGAUCUCUGUCACCGCAACUUUCCAUAUCUGCCACUCCCAUUGCACCAUAGCACCCAACAUUACCGAAACUUCUUGUCCUUCUCAUCCUCUUUGUCUCUGUCACCUACGUCAUCUACACGCUCAAGCUUGUCUCCAUCUCACGCGCUUGCAAAGAUGCCCCAUUCUCCUUCGGCACCUUCUCCAAAACCAUCAUCGCCGUCAAUGCCACCGCCUCCGUCGUCGCAGUUCUCCUACGAGGCUCCCUCGAGACGAAUCCCGAGGACCAGACGAACCUCCGCCACUUGGUGCUCAGAAUCGCGGCAUCGACCAAGCUGUGGGACCAAAGGAAGAGCUACAUCAAACUCUGGUAUAGAGUGAGGGACAUGUGCAGCAUGAUGUGGCUCGACGAGAAGGUGAAAUCGAAGGAAAACAAUAGCAACAUGCUCCUGCCAGUGAGAAUCUUCGACGACAUGGCGAUGUUUAACUACACGAACAGGCAAGGGCACUGGAGGUCACUUGGGCUUCAGCCUUGUCCAAAGACUCCUCCAAAGGGGAUACACUAUUCAUGCCUCUGUUAAAAAAUAUGGGGAAGAAAACCUAUUCAAUGGAAUUUCAUCCGAUCCUGAUAAGCUUAAGGUUUUUCGAUCUGACCCAUUUGAUUACCAUAGCAUAAUCGAUGCUCUCCGAGGUUGCUCUGGUUUGUUCUACAUAUGGUUUUGUCCAAUUGGAAUACUUUGGAUUCAGAUCUUUGUGACUGGAAUGGUGUUUCUUGCACUGCAACUCGAGAUCAUGUGAUCAAGCUGAUCUUGCAUGGCAACAGUCUCGUUGGAGUAAUACCUAAAGAAUUGGGCAUGUUGAAAUCUCUUAAGGUGUUGGAUUUGGGAAUUAAUCACUUAAUUGGACCAAUUCCUCCAGAGAUUGGAAAUUUGACCCAAGUUAUGAAAAUGUAAAAGGAAAUUAUUAAUUAAUUUGCUCUUCCAGAAUUGUCGACUCUUAAAUUAUUUUGAUGGAGUAGUGUUUUCAAUUCCAUUGCAUUCUUGCAUAAACCUACAGUCCAAUGGGUUGACUGGUAGGCUACCUCCAGAGCUAGGAAAAUUGAAAUACCUUCAAAUUUUUCUUCAAAUAUGCAUGGGAUGAGAGUAAAAUUUUCUAAAAUGAAUUAGUUUAGUUUGUUUACUAAUUCAUCAUCAUCAUUCAUGUAGUCUUUUCUCAUCAGAUUGAUAAAACUCUUCUUUCUCUAUGACUACAGUGCAUGCUAUAAAGUGUAGGCCUGUAGGACUCUUAUAUCUAUGGUAGAUUACCAUGGUGAGAUGGGUUAGUCUAUAGGCUUCAUUUUGGUCUACAUAUAAUUGGUAGGAUUCAAAUUUCUUUUUUUCUUCAAAUGUCAUUUACCAGUUUCAUUUGUGUCUGCUAAAGCAAACAAGACAUAGUUUCUUGCAUUAUCUUUUAUGUUUACUAUAAAUGAAUACAAUAAUUUUUGCAUGUGAGACAUGUGAUAUGAUAAUUUAUCAUUGCUACAAUUGUCAAAUUUUCAUUGAGCUCAGGAAGCAAGUCAUUGGGUAUAAGGAUAUAUAUAGUUAACAUGACUUAAAUCACCUUUGACAUUAAAAUUGUUGUAUCUAGAAAACAUUGUCAAGCUCACCCAUUACGUAUAAAAUACCAAGUUACACAAUCAAAAUUUGGACAGUAUUAAUCUAACUCUUAUGUUUCCUAUUAUUUUUUUAGGUAUGCCUCGGGUGUGAAUUUAACUGGCUUCUGUCGUUUGUCUCAGUUAAAAGUUGCAGAUUUUUCAUAUAACUUUUUUGUUGGUAGCAUACCCAAAUGCUUGGCAAGUUUGUUUAAUCCUCGUUAUUUGCGCAUGAUCUUAAUAUUUUUUUAAUUUCUUUUGGUUCUAGGGGUAACUUUAUGCAAAGGGCUCAACAGAGGAUUCAGGACACUGUUGGCAGGAUUAUUGGCUUUACUAGUUUAUAUGAUAUCAGCCAAUAAAUAAAAAUGAGUUGAAAUUGAGGUUUCUUGAUAAAAGGACUGUCUUUUAAUGAUUCUACCACUUCUAAUUCUAUUAGUAGUUAAAACUUAAAAGUGUUCAAAGACGUUUUCUAUGCUGACUUAAUUAAUCAUCCCUUUGGAGGUAAUUCAUCUAAAAUUAGAAAUAUGUUCAUAAAGAUAUCCUAAUUUGUGAUUUUCUCAAAUAUAAAUUAUGCUUCUAUGUCUGAUAAAUAAAUUGAGUUAUUUCUAUCCACUUUUAGUAUAAUUAUUGUUUUACACUCUCCAUUUAUACUGUAAGAGCCCCCAACAGGCUAUAUCCACGUCAGAGCAAGAAGGGGUUAGGCAACGGAUAGCCACAAGCUUGCUGGAAGGGUGAGAAGAAAGAUAAGUGAAAGGAUGAAGGUGUUGCAACGGCUUGUGCCAGGUUGUGAUAAGGUGACUAGAAAGGCCCUUAUGUUGGAUGAAAUAAUCAAUUAUGUUCAGUCUUUACAGAAUCAAGUUGAGUGAAUUUCAACUCAUACAUGAGUUAUGCUUAUAUGUGUUAUCAGCAUCCCAAAGGACUAAACUCACACAAGCUACUCUAUCUACAUUGCAUGCCUUCUUAUCAUGGAUUCCCUUGGGUUAUAUAUUUGAAUCACCCCUGCUUGUGACACUCCUGAAAUUUUUCCUUGUCCUAGCAUAUCGGAACCUCACAUUGCAAUGUUUAACUGAGGUGGCAGCCCUUCAAUUUGGGAAUUAUUAUGAUGUACAGUAUGUCAAGAUGUAUAACAUAUUCAUGGUCCAAUUGUAGGAAAUUAAGUAAACAACUGAGUGGUGAGGAUUGGACAUGGAACAAUUUGAAUACACUCUGUUGGGCAAUUGGUUCUAUAUUAGGUUCCAUGAUGGAAGAACAGUUUUUGACAAGAUAGAAAUUGACGAGAAUACCACACUCAAAGAUUUGGAUCUAAACCACAGCUUCUACCUAGAACCAUCUCGGUGAGAGUCUUUACUAAAGGAGUUGUUGGGCAUUUUCAGCUGUGGCAGCUGUUGAGGGGAUUAACCAAAUAAAAAACAACAAUUUGAUUCAAAAUAUUUUUAAUUUUAAAAGAAAAAAACACAUUUUAAGACGAUUCUUCAAAAAAUCGUCUUAGAAUAUUUACGUUCUAAGACAGUUUUUUGAAAACUGUCUUAGAGUCCUCUAUAUAUUUUUAAUUUUUUUAAAAAAUACAUUCUAAGACAAUUUUUAGUUAAAAACUGUCUUAGAAAGUGUAUCCUUUUAGGACGGUUUUUAACUAAGAAUAAUCUUAGAAAGGUAUUUUUUUUAAGACGAUUAUUUAUUGAACCGUCGUAAAAAGUGAAAACUUUCUAUGUCGUCUCCUACAACGACGGUUAAUAGAAUGCCUAUUUUAACUGA